rnacentral:rRNA from 1 species
AUUGAACGCUGGCGGCAUGCUUUACACAUGCAAGUCGAACGGCAGCGCGGGCUUCGGCCUGGCGGCGAGUGGCGAACGGGUGAGUAAUACAUCGGAACGUGCCCAGUAGUGGGGGGUAGCUCGGCGAAAGCCGGAUUAAUACCGCAUACGACCUGAGGGGGAAAGCGGGGGAUCUUCGGACCUCGCGCAAUUGGAGCGGCCGAUGGCAGAUUAGCUAGUUGGUGGGGUAAAGGCCUACCAAGGCGACGAUCUGUAGCUGGUCUGAGAGGACGACCAGCCACACUGGGACUGAGACACGGCCCAGACUCCUACGGGAGGCAGCAGUGGGGAAUUUUGGACAAUGGGCGAAAGCCUGAUCCAGCAAUGCCGCGUGUGUGAUGAAGGCCUUCGGGUUGUAAAGCACUUUUGGCGGGAACGAAAAGGACUGUGCCAAUACCACGGUUCGAUGACGGUACCCGCAGAAUAAGCACCGGCUAACUACGUG